rnacentral:rRNA from 1 species
UCGAGGAUAGUCUACAAUGGUCGAAAGAUUGAUAGUGCGACGCCGCGUGAACGAUGAAGCAUUUCGGUGUGUAAAGUUCUUUUCUAUGCGAGCAGAGGGUUUUAUGUGAAUAAUGUGAGAUCUAGGAUAUUAGUAUAGGAAUAAGCCACGGCUAACUCCGUGCCAGCAGCCGCGGUAAUACGGGGGUGGCGAGCGUUGUCCGGAAUUACUAGGCGUAAAGGGCAGGUAGGCGGAUAGAUAAGUUAAUCGUUAAAGACCGGCGCUCACCGUCGGGGAUGCGAUUGAUACUGUUUAUCUGGAAUCGAGUGGGGGAAGACGGAAUUCCUGGUGUAGCGGUGGAAUGCGCAGAUAUCAGGAGGAACACCGAAGGCGAAGGCAGUCUUCUACGCUUGUAUUGACGCUAAACUGCGAAGGUGCGGGUAUCAAACA